AUUUUUGUGUUCAAUAAAAGGAAUCAAAAUUGCAUUUACACAAAUCUAAGUUGAAGCACAAGAAGAAGAAGAUGGUAGUUUGUUGGUGAUUGUGGUUCCAAAAUUGUUGUUGGUUAUCCCUUUCUAUUAGCCUGAUAUUUCAUCUGUUUCAAUUUGUUUGUUAUACUUUUUUUUAUAGUCUGUUUCGACAUUUAUCAAUUUAAAUUUUGAAUUCGCCUCUAUGUAACGUAGAUAUAUUAGACACAACAUUCCAAUCUUGGAACCACAGUUACCACCAUACUAUCAAAUUUCUCAGCCAAGAUUCAUUAAUCAAUUGGGAGGUUUGAACACAUUUCUCUCUCUAUCAUAAUUUAUAACAAUUCUUCUCUUUUGUCUAGCCAAGGCUAGUAUGGUCAGUUUCUAUAAUAUUCAUCCUCUAUAAUAACAUUUUAAUUUAAUAGUCUAAAUUUUUGUAUUAUGUUAAAUUAUAUAUUCUUUAUAAUUAACAAUAUCUCAUUGUAACAGUAAAAUUAUAUCCAGACAAAUUGUGUCAUUAUAGUGAAGUUUGAUUGUAUUCUAUUAUGUGUAAUGGUAAUAGUUUUUUUUUAUUCAUUGUUCGUUAUUUGCAUUAAAAUUAUUCAAAUAGUGUGUUUAACAGGUUUGGCUAUAAAAGGAGCGGUCAUUUUUUUCCUUUUAAAGAAAAUAGAGCUAUCCUAUCAUUUGCCUUCCUCAGAUGAGACCCUCAUUACUAGGGAUGAAUCAAAUCCACAUAUUGCACGUUGUUGGACCUUCUUUAGCACCAAUUGGCAGGCCCAUUCUGAAGAAAACAUGCCCAACAUAAUUUUUAUUGUAUUGCAGGACUCAUUCUGAAGACAACGCUUCCAACAGAUUUUUUUCUAUACCAAGACUCAAUUUUGAUGUUUCCUACUUUAUGUACUGUGAGUCACUGGACAUUUGGAAGUCUGACCAAGUUCCUUCAAAGGUUGACCAAAUCUAAACUCAACUUUUUUUUUCAUACAUAUUAUAUUUAUCUGUUAUUUUUAAUUUAAACGAUUGAAUCGACAAUUAUCAUAAAUAAAUUAAAUUAAGUAACAAAACUAAGAGAUAGAUUUCACUAACAAUACUCAACGAUGUAUAAAUUUCUUACAUUAACGAUAUAUAUAACUCAAACUCGCUAAAAAUUGUACUUAAUCUCCAUAGUUAGGGUAAAAUAGGUUGUCAAAAGAAGGCAACUCUAAUUUCAAUAAGUUAUCAAGAUUAGUACUAGGAUUAUUAGACUUAAACUUUGACAUUUUCACAUGAUCAGGCUCCACUGAUCCUGCAUCCUUGCCUGUUAGUUUCUGAACUAUUGAUUUGAAAUUCCUUGCAUCUGUCUCGAUAUACUCCGUGUUGAUUAUCACCACCUUCACCUUAUCCCUGUCGUUUCUGUCUGUUGACAUGUUCUCUGUACUUCUGAAUUAGUCAAGACAGUAAAUUUUGAAUAGUUGAGAUUCUUCUUAUAAGCGUAAUGAUAUAAUUAAGCUUUAUCUGACUGUGAGAUCGAAUAAAGACAAAAGUCAAUCACUCAUUUGCGAACUAUCUUAUCUCAAAAUAUAGAAAUAUCGAAAACGAAGAAUUCAAUCUAGGAUUUUUGGAAAUAUGGUUAUGAGGAAAGAAAAAGAGUGGUUGGUGUUAGUUGUAAUUGAGGAUAAGUGAUUUAUAUGUACAUAUUUAUAGAAGGAGCACUAGUACUUUGAAAUUAAAAAGAUUUGAGAUAGGUGAAUAUGUUAAAAGGAAGAGUUGACUGUCUAAAUAAAUUGAAGCAGUCAACAAGGACCAAAGAUAAAGUCAAAGAAUGCAAUUGAGAAAUAAAGUUGCGAUCCAACCAAUUCAGAAUUUAAAAUUUAUAAAUUAAUAUCAAAUUAAUAUUAUAAUAAUAAUUAAAUUCAUAAUCAAAUUUAUUGAUAUUUAAUACAUUUUUAUAAAUAUACAUAAAUAGAUAGAAAUGAUUUGGACAAAAAUUACUGAGUUGACGUGAACCCGUAAAACAUAUGCACAUAGCAG
rnacentral:lncRNA from 1 species